rnacentral:rRNA from 1 species
AGAAUCAACGCUGGCGGCGUGCCUAACACAUGCAAGUCGAACGAGAAAGGGUAGCAAUACCUGAGUAAAGUGGCGCACGGGUGAGUAACACGUGACUAACCUACCCUGGAGUGGGGAAUAACUGAGGGAAACCUUAGCUAAUACCGCAUAAUACCUACGGGUCAAAGGAGCAAUUCGCUUCAGGAGGGGGUCGCGGCCGAUUAGCUAGUUGGCGGGGUAAUGGCCCACAAGGCAGUGAUCGGUA